GAGAGAGUCAUAGAGGGUAUGAGACUGGCUUGAAACCAGUGUCUGAAGGUUCGAUUUCUUCCUUUCUCA
rfam:Papio anubis isolate 1X1155 chromosome 14, whole genome shotgun sequence.